UACGUAGGGGGCAAGCGUUGUCCGGAUUUAUUGGGCGUAAAGGGCGCGUAGGCGGCCUUCUAAGUCGAACGUGAAAUCCCCGGGCUCAACCCGGGAACUGCGUCCGAUACUGGAAGGCUUGAAUCCGGGAGAGGGAUGCGGAAUUCCAGGUGUAGCGGUGAAAUGCGUAGAUAUCUGGAGGAACACCGGUGGCGAAGGCGGCAUCCUGGACCGGUAUUGACGCUGAGGCGCGAAAGCCAGGGGAGCAAAGCGGG
rnacentral:rRNA from 1 species